GUGAAAUUGUUGAAAGGGAAGCGUUUGGCAUCAGCCCUUGACGUCCGUCGAUCAUCCAGGCUUCUGCCUGGUGCACUUGUCGGACGUCGGGCCAGCGUCGGCUUCGCCCUCCGGAGAAAGGCCUGGGGAAUGUGGCUCCAUUCGUGGAGUGUUAUAGCCCCUGGCGUCAUGCGGUGUGGUGGGGCCGAGGUCCGCGGAUUUAUCCCAGGACGCUGGCGUAAUGGUUCCAAGCGACCCGUCUUGAAACACGGACCAAGGAGUCUAACAUCUAUGCGAGUGUUUGGGUGUCAAGCCCGUCCGCGCAAUGAAAGUGAAUGCAGGCGGGAGCCGUCAAGGUGCACCGCCGACCGGUCUGGGGGUUUUACCGAAGGAUCUGAGUAAGAGCAUAGCUGUUGGGACCCGAAUUAUGGUGAACUAUGCCUGAAUAGGGUGAAGCCAGAGGAAACUCUGGUGGAGGCUCGCAGCGGUUCUGACGUGCAAAUCGAUCGUCAAAUUUGGGUAUAGGGGCCAAAGAC
rnacentral:rRNA from 1 species